rnacentral:rRNA from 1 species
AAUAAGAGGGGGACCGGGCGGUUGUUGUCGCAGGGCAGUAGGAGGAGUGGGCGUGGUGGGGGCGAGCGGAUAAAUUCCGCUGUACGAGAGGUCCUCCGGCGAGCGGCGGCGGGAUGCGGAGCGCGGGGAGAGCGGAGGCGAGGAGGAGAAGAAGCGGAGGAGGAGGAGGAGCAGCAGCAGUGGGCGGAGCACGAGGAGGGGGUGGCGAAGCCGGAGCCGGGGGUCUCCGACGUCACGAGAUUCCUACCUAUCGCCGCGACACCUUGGUCGAAGUUGGCCCCGUUAGACCAGUUGCGGCAGCCACCUCGGCUCUUCGUAAAGGUAGCCCUUCGUCUAUAAGACGUUGUCCAGAGAGUUGUACUCCUUGUAGUGGCGUCAUCCUAAACUAUACCUGAUGUGAGAACGCGUCAUGUUUGGACUCUGUAAGCUCCGGGAACGAAUGGUACCGUGGUAACUCUUCGAGCACUUCCUAGAGUUGAUGGGACUCCUCGACAACUGUACCGUUAAACUGACCUUCAUAUACCAGUCUCCUGAUCAAGAACUAUUCUUUUCUCCUUUAUAGAACUUCUACCUGGCCGUGUUCAUACAUUUUCAACGUAUGGUACCUAAAUCCCUCUACAGCUUCCUUCUUUUUCAACGACGAAUACCCUCAUGUAACUAUUCCCUAAGGAAGCUACUUGGACUAAUACGGGAAUAUCUAUGUGAAAAGAGUGACCCACUUCGGAUAGACAAACGAGUCGAACAACUAAAGUACCUGUCGUUAGGACGUUUUCAUGGAAGUCCGUGACUGAUACGCGUAUACAUAUCUCUACACUCCAGACGCCAACUAGACACAGUAGCACUACCUUGAAAUUUUGCUUACCAACGUUUCCUUGGAUCGUCCAUAUAGUUACUUCUGAACCGUUAACAUGGCUACGAAGUUUACGAAUCUUUUAGACCUGCGAGGUGUAAGAACCACUGUUUGUCAAAUACCCUGAUGUGACUACAACAGUACUUGAUGGAUACACCCGGUAUAUACAGUCUACAUUCGAGUUCAGUGUUGGUGUUCACCGAACUCAUAAAACUACAACAAUAUUGUCCGUCAAGUUUCGGUUCGAAAAAAGUACUACUAUUGGCUUGUCCUAACAAACUUCAACUCGGACUAAGACCCUUUGAAGAUUUACGACUAGAAGUCUAACCUUCGGGUUCUAGUUCAGUUGUAGUCGGUUUUGGUUAAGUGUUUCAAAUGGUCCCUCCGUUACAACCAGUAGAAGUGUCUGAUGAAAGACAACGAAGAUCAAGCGUCUAGGAGAUACAACCACUAGUGUAUAUACCUCUGUAUGAGGCGUCGUUCUUUCAAGAUCCAACCGCCUGAUACGACCAUUAUGGACUCGACCUCGUUCUCCACUUCGAAGUUAGUCUUAGUUUCAGAUGAGCUUUCCUCGAAUCUGUGGAAUCUUACCUCGCACUAAGUCAACUUCUGUGCUAGGUAGCGGAACUUACCAGAGAAGUUAAACUUCUAGAAUGUCUCUUACUCUUCCCUUUCAACAAUAGACUCGUACUAUUAGAUGACGUUUUCGACUUCCCAUAGGCGACGGAAGAGGCUCUACGAGUCUACGUUGUAGUGGUCUUCAAAGUGUUCCACACCCCUGUCGAAUACUUCUGACCCAUGGUUUUGAGAGCCAAACGAGUGGUCCAGCUCUCUAAACGUACGGAUAUGACGUCGGUUCAAUGUCUGAAACCCAACAUAAGAGGGUUGUUCAUAAUGGCAGGUUCGCUUCUAAUGUACGGGGUACUCAAGCUACACGAACCGGACAUCUUGAUCAAACACGAGUACACCUUAGCUUCAAGAGGAAACUCCACAUCCGACUUCGUUCUAUACCUGCGUUAAAAUCGUACUAUGACUUAUUGUUUAUAAAUGGUGGAGUGUGUUGUCUUACUCCAGAUGGACCACUUUGAAGUGGGUAAAAUGUACAAAUAUAUGAUAUCAACGACUAUCCUUUAAAAUGUCCAAAGGACGAAACAUGUAUUGUACAAGAUUGUCCCCCGUUUACUUUGGUUACAACUUACAACUAGUAAAGUUGAAAGUUUCAUUUAUUAAAUUAAACCAAUAAUGAGGCGAACCGAUACGAGUAGACUUAAAUUUCACGACAUAUUGUUAACUAUUAUAGGGUUACUCCAGACAUUGGGGAUUACUUAAAACUCCCACUUUAAACUCCCGGUAAACCAAGUUACAAACUUUCCG